AGGGUCACGCUCAUCCACAGCUUGUUACUCAACUAAGAUUAUAACCCAUAGCGUAACAGUUUUGUUUUAAAACAUAAUGCUUCAUACUGUAUAAUGUACGCUAGUUGUUAAUAUAUAUCUACUGUAUUUUGUAACGUAAUCUGUUAUUAUUUAGCCUUAGGUGGAAAAGCACGUUGAGAAGUAUCGUUUUUCAGUUGCACGGUUCGUACUGUAUGUCCACUCUAACUCGCUGUAGCUUUCUUUUAAUUGCUAAAACGAAAAUGCCAGUUUGUUGGCUCAUUAGGAAAGAUGGAAGUCACAAACCAAUUGGAUUACCCCAUCUCCAAGCAGUGGUUUUAGGACGAGGUCCGGAAACUAAAAUAGCGGACAAAAAAUGUUCUAGGGAACAAGUUGAGCUGAAAGCAGAUUACAACAAGGGCUACAUAAAUGUGAAACAGCUGGGCGUGAACCCCACCAGCGUGGACUCUGUGGUUGUGGGCAAGGGCAAGGAAACGAAGCUGAAGCCGGGACAGCUGCUUCACAUCGUCAAUCAGCUGUACGCCUACGCAGUGGAGUUCUCGGAGGGCACGGCCAGCUCCAGCUGCACCCCCGAGAGACGGCGAGGCUCCAAAAGGCCUGCCGAGGAGGACGUGGCUGCGGAAACCCUGAGCCACAAGAUGUCUAGACCUGAAAAUGAAGUGAAGGCAACUGAUAAGGGCAGAAGCGGAGGAGCCGCCACUGGAAGUCCCCUGAAAAAGCAGCCUGGCGACACUGCGAAGACGGAGGCCAAAGGUCAUUGGAGUCAAGGACUGAAGACUUCAAUGCAAGAUCCCAAAAUGCAGGUGUACAAAGAUGAGAAGGUGGUCGUCAUCAAGGACAAGUACCCCAAGGCCCGGUACCAUUGGCUGGUUUUACCGUGGGAGUCCAUUACCAGCCUGAAGGCCGUGCGGGCAGAGCACUGCACGCUACUGCAGCACAUGCACCGAGUGGCGGAGAGGCUAGUGCAGCAAUGCGCCGAUGCUGGCAAGCUGCAUUUCCGCAUGGGAUACCAUGCCAUUCCCAGUAUGAGUCAUGUUCACCUUCAUGUCAUUAGUCAAGAUUUUGACUCCCCAUGCCUGAAAAAUAAGAAGCACUGGAAUUCCUUCACAACAGACUACUUCAUUGAAUCACAAGCUGUCAUAGAAAUGCUGCAAAAAGACGGACAUAUAUCGGUGAAGGAUGGUGCUGGUGAGUUACUGAAGCUACCGCUGCGGUGUCACCAGUGUGAUAAGGAGAUGUCGACCAUCCCACAGCUGAAAGAGCACCUGAAAUCUCACCUGCCCAGGUGAAAGAGCACCUGAAAUCUCACCUGCCCAGGUGAAAGAGCACCUGAAAUCUCACCUGCCCAGGUGAAAGAGCACCUGAAAUCUCACCUGCCCAGGUGAAAGAGCACCUGAAAUCUCACCUGCCCAGGUGAAAGAGCACCUGAAAUCUCACCUGCCCAGCUGAAAGAGCACCUGAAAUCUCACUUGCCCAGCUGAAAGAGCACCUGAAAUCUCACCUGCCCAGGUGAAAGAGUGUAGAUUCUUACAAGAGAAAACAGCGGGCCGGGACACGUUUCGCUUAUCCUACCUGCAGUCCCCCCCAGCUGACAGAGGCUUUCAGGGAUAAGUAUAGACACAGUUCAUUGUCAUACCACUAAUGUAAUUGGUUUAGAAACCCAAGAAACGUUGUCCAUGCUUACUUUGUCCAGAACCAGAUUUAACUUAUGCUGCUUUGAAUUUGUCUUGUCAAUUUCUGUAUUUCCAAAUAAACAGCCUUAUUACUUGG